UCCUACGGGGGGCAGCAGUGAGGAAUAUUGGUCAAUGGUCGGGAGACUGAACCAGCCAAGCCGCGUGGGUGAAGAAGCGCCUCGGCGCGUAAAGCCCUGUCAGCAGGGAAGAAAAUGACGGUACCUGAAGAAGAAGCCCCGGCUAACUACGUGCCAGCAGCCGCGGUAAUACGUAGGGGGCAAGCGUUAUCCGGAUUUACUGGGUGUAAAGGGGGCGCAGACGGCGAUCCAAGCCAGGAGUGAAAGCCCGGGGCCCAACCCCGGGACUGCUCUUGGAACUGCGUGGCUAGAGUGCAGGAGGGGCG
rnacentral:rRNA from 1 species